rnacentral:rRNA from 1 species
UCUUCGGCAAUGGGGGCAACCCUGACCGAGCAACGCCGCGUGAGUGAAGAAGGGUUUCGGAUCGUAAAGCUCUGUUGUAAGAGAAGAACGUGUGUGAGAGGGGAAAGUUCACACAGUGACGGUAACUGACCAGAAAGGGACGGCUAACUACGUGCCAGCAGCCGCGGUAAUACGUAGGUCCCGAGCGUUAUCCGGAUUUAUUGGGGGUAAAGCGGGCGCAGGCGGUUGGAUAAGUCUGAAGUUAAAGGCUGUGGCUUAACCAUAGUAUGCUUUGGAAACUGUUCAACUUGAGUGCAGAAGGGGAGAGUGGAAUUCCAAGUGUAGCGGUGGAAUGCGUAGAUAUAUGGAGGAACACCGGUGGCGAAAGCGGCUCUCUGGUCUGUAACUGACGCUGAGGCUCGAAAGCGUGGGUAGCGAACAGG